rnacentral:lncRNA from 12 species
AGACAUUUGGCAUUAGCUUGUAUUCUCUGAGUCAAUUGCUGGCCUCAGAAUCUCUGAAUUAGGGGGAAAUCUUAAAAUAGCUCUGGAUCAACUCUUCUGCAAAAUCCAUGGCUAAUCCUGUAUUCCUGAAAUGGAGGGACCAGGAGGAAUGACGGCUUUUCCCAGAAUAGUCAGAUUUACAGUGCGUGCCAUUUAUUACUGAGCCCAGAGUCAUCAAACAUAUUGAUAACAGAGAUGUAGAAGUGCCUAGAUAAUAAAAAGUCAAUCAGAAGUACACAGUGCUGCAGAAUCAGAAAAUCUCCAAAGGACUUGCCAGUCCUUUGCUGAAAGGAUGCUUGUCACAGUGCUGGGCUGGAAGCAGCCCUGCACAGAAGAACGGGAAGGACCACACUCAAAUCCAUGCUAAGCAGGAAAGACGAACACUUUGAACUGCUGCCAUAUUGAUUUCCAAACAGAAAAGCUUCAAAAAGUCCUGG